GCCCGGGUGGCGGAAUUGGCAGACGCGCAAGGUUCAGGUCCUUGUUCCCUUUACCGGGAGUGGGGGUUCGACCCCCCCCUCGGGCACCA
rnacentral:tRNA from 1 species